CGACCCCAGGUCAGGCGGGAACACCCGCUGAGUUUAAGCAUAUCAA
rnacentral:rRNA from 3 species